GAGACGGAAGAAAACAUCACGCGUGCCGAGACCAUCAGGCCUGCCUAGCUUCCUCUGUAUCUAGCCAGCUUCCCUCUCCGGGGAGAGAGAGAAAGAGAGACUACAGUUCCUGGCCUGGGGAUCUUCUCUGUCCUUAAUUUCUCCUUCUCAGGUGCCAGGGCGAAAUUAGAGAAUGAGCCAUCUGCUCCUCCAAUCCAAAGCGUAGACAAUGGUCGGCGUCAAAUCAGGCAAAAGCAUGCAAACCAAUCCUGCACCUGUACGUGUCGUCCCGCUACUGCUUUGAUCUGUUCCUCGAUCGUGCGUGGGCGUGGCUGCUUGCCUAUAUUUUGUAACUGAGCUAGCUAGGCCGUAUGUCGAGGCACAAAGUCUGCAAUAUUUCCAACAUCAAGACAAAAUGCUUCAUCUCAUGCAUAGUGUUAUCAUUGCCAAGAUGGUCGGAACGAAUUCAACCAGGAAGAUUACAACAAACAUAGGAUCAAAACACAAGAAGAAGCUGAACCAAAAGGAAAUCUUUCUGCAGUCAAGUGCUUUCGGCAAGCAGAAUUUAACCAGUUUUUGACAUGCACAUAGAUGCACGCACGGUUGCUGACUGAAGGGCGAAGACAUAUGUACAUGUGUGUGUUUCGCUGAAGAACUUAAUUGCAUGAUAUUAUCCGAUUGGCUAGCUUGCUGGGCUGAACCGCUGAGCAGUACCCUUGUACUGUGCUGCGAAAAGUGUCCUGGAGAGAAAUAGUUGUUUUUACUGCUAGCCCAUUGUGCGGUGAAAAUUUGCCGAGAUCCGGAAGAUAGAAGGUGCAAACACUCCGAUAUGGUAACUAAAUUCCUCCGUCUCCGGGACGCUGCUAGCUGGGUGGGUUGGAUAACUCCACAUGUUGGUAUGUCAUACAUAAUCUAAUCUGUAUAUCAAGAUCGAAUUAAGAAUCAUGUUUUAGAAAGCUGGCUUGGUUUUGCAACUUCGUUAA